GCUGGGUGUGGUGGCACACGCCUGUAGUCCCAGCUACUCAGGAGGCUGAGGCAGGAGAAUCGUUUGAACCCGGGAGAUGGAGGUUGCAGUGAGUCACUGCACUCCAGCCUGGGUAACAGAGCGAGACUCUGUCUCAA
rnacentral:sRNA from 1 species